GUCGUACUCCCUCCGUUCCGAUUUAUUUGUCGUGGGUAUGAAUGUAUCUAGAUGUAUUUUAGUUCUAGAUACAUUCAUUUUUGUGACGAGUAAUUUAGAACGAAGGGAGUAGAAC
rfam:Triticum urartu cultivar G1812 contig632922, whole genome shotgun sequence.